rnacentral:rRNA from 1 species
GUUGUAUAGUCAAGUAAUUAAGUGCAUGUGGUGGAUGCCUUGGCAGUCAGAGGCGAUGAAAGACGUGAUAGCCUGCGAAAAGCUCCGGGGAGGCGGCAAAUAUCCUUUGAUCCGGAGAUGUCUGAAUGGGGGAACCCACCUACUUUAAGGUAGGUAUUGCAACAUGAAUACAUAGUGUUGCAAGGCGAACGAGGGGAAGUGAAACAUCUCAGUACCCUUAGGAAAAGAAAUCAAUUGAGAUUCCCUCAGUAGCGGCGAGCGAACGGGGAUCAGCCCAUUAAGUUAUGUGUGUUUUAGUGGAACGCUCUGGGAAGUGCGAACGUAGAGGGUGAUAUUCCCGUACACGAAAGGGCACACAUAAUGAUGACGAGUAGGGCGAGGCACGUGAAACCUUGUCUGAAUAUGGGGGGACCAUCCUCCAAGGCUAAAUACUCCUGACUGACCGAUAGUGAACCAGUACCGUGAGGGAAAGGCGAAAAGAACCCCUGUGAGGGGAGUGAAAUAGAUCCUGAAACCGCAUGCAUACAAGCAGUGGGAGCACCUUCGUGGUGUGACUGCGUACCUUUUGUAUAAUGGGUCAGCGACUUAUAUUCAGUAGCAAGGUUAACCGUAUAGGGGAGCCGUAGAGAAAUCGAGUCUUAAUAGGGCGUUUAGUUGCUGGGUAUAGACCCGAAACCAGGCGAUCUAUCCAUGAGCAGGUUGAAGGUUGGGUAACACUAACUGGAGGACCGAACCCACUGUCGUUGAAAAGCCAGGGGAUGACUUGUGGAUAGGGGUGAAAGGCUAAUCAAGCCUGGUGAUAGCUGGUUCUCCCCGAAAGCUAUUUAGGUAGCGCCUCGGACGAAUACCAUAGGGGGUAGAGCACUGUUUCGGCUAGGGGGUCAUCCCGACUUACCAAACCGAUGCAAACUCCGAAUACCUAUGAGUACUAUCCGGGAGACAGACUGCGGGUGCUAACGUCCGUAGUCAAGAGGAAAACAAUCCAGACCGCCAGCUAAGGCCCCAAAAUCAUAGUUAAGUGGGAAACGAUGUGGGAAGGCAUAGACAGCUAGGAGGUUGGCUUANNNNNNNNNNNNNNNNNNNNNNNNNNNNNNNNNNNNNNNNNNNNNNGAAGCAGCCACCCUUUAAAGAAAGCGUAAUAGCUCACUAGUCGAGUCGGCCUGCGCGGAAGAUGUAACGGGGCUAAAACUAUGUGCCGAAGCUGCGGAUGUAUACUUUGUAUACGUGGUAGGGGAGCGUUCUGUAAGCCGAUGAAGGUGUGUUGAGAAGCAUGCUGGAGGUAUCAGAAGUGCGAAUGCUGACGUGAGUAACGACAAAACGGGUGAAAAACCCGUUCGCCGAAAGACCAAGGGUUCCAGUCCAACGUUAA